rnacentral:rRNA from 1 species
AACGAACGCUGGCGGCAGGCUUAACACAUGCAAGUCGAACGCAUCCUUCGGGGUGAGUGGCAGACGGGUGAGUAACGCGUGGGAACGUGCCCUUCAGUUCGGGAUAACCCAGGGAAACUUGAGCUAAUACCGUAUGAUGUCUUCGGACCAAAGAUUGAUCGCCUAAGGAUGAGCCCGCGUCGGAUUAGCUAGUGGGUGGGGUAAAGGCCUACCAAGGCGACGAUCCGUAGCUGGUCUGAGAGGAUGAUCAGCCACACUGGGACUGAGACACGGCCCAGACUCCUACGGGAGGCAGCAGUGGGGAAUAUUGGACAAUGGGCGAAAGCCUGAUCCAGCAAUGCCGCGUGAGUGAAGAAGGCCUUCGGGUUGUAAAGCUCUUUUACCCGGGAAGAUAAUGACUGUACCGGGAGAAUAAGCCCCGGCUAACUCCGUGCCAGCCGCCGCGGUAA